rnacentral:rRNA from 1 species
GACGAACGCUGGCGGCGUGCUUAACACAUGCAAGUCGAACGGAAAGGCCUGCUUUCCCUUGUGGAUUGCGGGUACUCGAGUGGCGAACGGGUGAGUAACACGUGAGUGAUCUGCCCCCAACUUGGGUAUAAGCCUGGGAAACUGGGUCUAAUUCCCGAUAGGACUGCAGGGUGGUGCCUGUGGUGGAAAACGAUUUUCUAGUGGUUGGGGAUGAGCUCGCGGCCUAUCAGCUUGUUGGUGGGGUAAUGGCCUACCAAGGCGGCGACGGGUAGCCGGCCUGAGGGGGUGGACGGCCACAUUGGGACUGGGAUCCGGCCCAGACUCCUACGGGAGGCAGCAGUGGGGAAUAUUGCACAAUGGGCGGAAGCCUGAUGCAGCGACGCCGCGUGGGGGAUGACGGCCUUCGGGUUGUAAACUCCUUUCGACCGCGAGGAAGCCACCUGGUUGGAAGGGUGGUGACGGUAGUGGUAGAAGAAGCACCGGCUAACUACGUG